AGAACUGAUAAUUCAAGCGAGUGGAAUGAAGGAGUAACGCCCUGAAACGCUCCCCCUGAUACUCCGACUGGCUCUGCUCAAAAGGCAGAUGUUCAGAAGCUCGGUGAAGUCGGCAGAGAGCAGCCCAAACAGGCAAAGCUGUGGAAAGUGUCCCAGAGGUGGGAUAUGCUGCCUAUAUGCCGGGGGUCUACAAA
rnacentral:ncRNA from 1 species